rnacentral:rRNA from 1 species
UACGUAGGGCGCUAGCGUUGUCCGGAAUUAUUGGGCGUAAAGAGCUCGUAGGCGGUUUGUCGCGUCUGCUGUGAAAACCUCAGGCUCAACCUGGGGCUUGCAGUGGGUACGGGCAGACUAGAGUGCGGUAGGGGUGACUGGAAUUCCUGGUGUAGCGGUGGAAUGCGCAGAUAUCAGGAGGAACACCGAUGGCGAAGGCAGGUCACUGGGCCGCAACUGACGCUGAGGAGCGAAAGCAUGGGGAGCGAACAGG